CACAGCACUAUGCAAAACGAGCCACAAAUCGAUAACGUCAAACAAUCGGAACUUCUAACUCAUGAACAAAAUAAACAGCUGUAACAACUAUGAAAAUGUAAACAACAAAGAUCGGGCCCCGGUUCCGGACCCAGCGUACCCGCCCAACCAUGAGACGAGCACCUACACUCGUCUUCCUCAUUUUGUCCAUUAGAUGGCCAUCAGCCUGUGCCGGCUGUUAUGCCAAUUCUCCCCAACGAAGAAAAUUUAACCGAACAUUUCUCUCAUCAGAUACGCUAUUUCGAAUCUCUUACAAGUGGAUAUUUGGUUAGCUUCACAGCACUAAGUGGAACAGGCGACGAAAUUCUACCAGGAUACUGCUAGUCGCCGCAAAAACAAAACACGCACGAAGGAAAUUUGGAUGCAAACGUUGCGCCAAUUUAGGACCAAUGUGCCCACACAACUACGCAAAACUGGGUAUGCCACGAAUAUCGGUCGUGCAACAGAGCUCUCUGGGGGAGGUAAGGGGCGAUGUAAAUGGAUAAUUCCAAUUAGGCGCAGAUGCAUCACCCUUGGAAAUUCCCUCACCGUUCGCACUCUAAAGUGAAACUCGGCGUAAGUGCCUAUGGAGUACGGUCAGGAGCCUCCAUCAUAUCUCUGCCAUGGGCUCGAACGAGGAUGGGCAAAAAUGAAACGGACUCACUCGGAGGAUGUGGGCGUGGUCUCGCCUGUGGCCGCUUCUUCGCUGUUGGCGUCCGGUCCGUGAUGGCUCGUCCGUCCGUCU